rnacentral:lncRNA from 10 species
AUUCUGCUGCUUCCGGCUGCUGACGACCACAUGGGCCCCGUCCUGGGCCAAACGCCGGGCGAUGGCGAAGCCGAUCCUGUGAGCAGAAAGAGACAAAGACUGCUAAGGCCUGUGCAGGGGAAGAGGUCGACAGUAUGAGCUCUGAAGUUAAGACUGCCCGGGUUUGAAUUCUGGCUCUUUCUCUAUAUAACCCCUACGUGUGCCUACUAUGUGUAAAACAGGCUUAAUGGCAUGGCCAUUUUUGGCAUUCCUUUACUUGUUUUUAUUAUGACCUGGACCACAGCCUCAGUUCCCAAGAACUGACAUCACUUUCUACAGUUCCCACCAUGGGUGACAGGCUUCAUCCCCUCUUGGGACUGAGAGGGCCAGACUUUGGCAGCGUGUAAGGUCUGAGGACAGGGGCACCGGAGGCCGAGGAUGAGAGGCCA